GCCUGUGUGGCUCAGUGGAUAGAGCAUCAGCCUGCGGACUGAAGGGUCUCAGGUUUGAUUCUGGUCAAGGGCA
rnacentral:tRNA from 1 species